GGAUAUUGUGGUCCUUCAGAACAUUCAGCCAAGAAGAAAACAGUUCUCUCAGGGUUAAGAUGGCAGCAAUAAGUAAUUUAAUGCUUUCUUUUGAUUGGGUUGGUAGCAAAGGCAUUGAUUAGUCUCUCCAGCUGAGACAAGGAAACUUUAGCCCAUCUAAAUUAAAUCUCUUAGGCGUCAUUGGUUCAAACAGCCUACUCAUUUUUGCUCCAGAUGCUCUCUAUAUUUCUUUUGUUGUUGUUGUUGUGCAAUAGGAGGAGAAGCAGAAAUGAAUUCUCUUUUCUUCCAUAGGAGGACUGGAGGACUGCUCGCCUCAACCUACCCAGUGUGAUUAUUGCAGCACAUAUGGUUUAGAGCCGUUGAGAAAAAUAAUGGAUCUGCCUGAAUUAGCACCUGACUUGGCAGGCAGCAUCACCAGAGAACCAGUCUCGCCAGUUCACUUUGCUUUGCUCCCAGCCAUGAUCGACCUCCUUGCAUACUUCAACACAUCAAUAUUGAUGGAGAGCCCAGGCUGUAUCUCCUUCAAGCUGUAGGCACAAUGGCCCUGGUGGGAAGUUCAUCCAUCAGAAGAAAUUUCCUGGUAAGAACUUCUUGCUGAAUCAUUAGUUUGGAAUCUUAUCCAUGACAAAUGACACAACCAAUAGAAAUAAUUCCUGGUUUUUCAUCCACACUGUUCCAAUGAUUGACUAGAUGGCAAGCACAUAGUCUUUAGUCUGCAUAAUGUGGAAUCUAUGGAAUGUUUGGAGCUAGAGCUGGCAAGACAGAAGAUCACCAUAGCUAAAUGUAGAUAAUUCUCAGAGAUUUGAUUUUGUGUUUUAUCUCAACCAUCAGCUCUUCAUCAGCUGAGGAAAGCACUCCUGCACUCCAGUCUUUUUUCAGUCCCUGUCAUUUUUGAGCUCUCAUUUAGUAUAGUUCCAUGGAUUUCAUGUUAUCCCUACCUUCUUCCAAGAUGGAUUUCAUAUUUAAAAAUUAUUAAAAGCUAAACAAGAAACAAUACGCCCAUGUCCCACUAUGGUCAGUCCUCUCACUGUCUCAAACACGGAAGUACAACAACACAAACAAGAUUGUCAUGGCAAGAAACUUCAUGACCAC
rnacentral:lncRNA from 1 species